rnacentral:rRNA from 1 species
CAUGCAAGUCGAACGAGAAAGGGAUUGCUCGCAAUCCUGAGUAGAGUGGCGCACUGGAUGAGUAACACGUAGAUAAUCUACCUUUGAGCCCGGGAUAACUAAUCGAAAGGUUAGCUAAUACCGGAUGAAGUUAAUCGGCAUAAGUUGAUUGAUGAAAGAUUGCCUAUCCUUGGAAGCAAUUGUUUGGAGAUGAGUUUGCGGACCAUUAGCUGGUUGGUGGGGUAAAGGCCUACCAAGGCGAUGAUGGUUAGCUGGUCUGAGAGGAUGAUCAGCCACACUGGAACUGAAACACGGUCCAGACUCCUACGGGAGGCAGCAGUGAGGAAUUUUGCGCAAUGGGGGCAACCCUGACGCAGCAACGCCGCGUGAGUGAAGAAGGCCUUUGGGUCGUAAAGCUCUGUCAACCGGGAAGAAAUUAUUGUUAUCCAAUAGGUAGCAGUAUUGACGGUACCGGUGAAGGAAGCAUCGGCUAACUCCGUGCCAGCAGCCGCGGUAAUACGGGGGAUGCAAGCGUUAUUCGGAAUUAUUGGGCGUAAAGGGCGCGUAGGCGGUUUUGUCGGUCAGAUGUGAAAGCCCGGGGCUCAACCCCGGACGUGCAUUUGAAACAGCAAGACUUGAGUACGGGAGAGGAAAGCGGAAUUCCUGGUGUAGAGGUGAAAUUCGUAGAUAUCAGGAGGAACACCGAUGGCGAAGGCAGCUUUCUGGACCGAUACUGACGCUGAGGCGCGAAGGCGUGGGUAGCGAACAGGAUUAGAUACCCUGGUAGUCCACGCAGUAAACGAUGUACACUCGGUGUAGCGGAUAUUAAAAUCUGCUGCGCCCAAGCUAACGCAUUAAGUGUACCGCCUGGGGAGUACGGUCGCAAGACUAAAACUCAAAGGAAUUGACGGGGGGCCCCCACAAGCGGUG